CAUAAUUCUAGUGACGUCCUUGUUGGAGAUACUUUACGCUAAAAAUGAAAACCUUGCCAGCGCCGUGCAGGCCCACCCUCGCUUAGAGGCGCAAAACCAGGAAGGACCCUCCGGCCCGCGCACGCGCAGAGCGCUCUGCCGCAGCGCCCGGACACCACCGCGCAAACCGCCGGGAUCCGGUGCGGUUCGGCGCACGCGCAGAGGGCGGUGCCGGCGCCGCACUCCGCCGGGGGGGUUGAAGGGGUGAGGGGCCCGCGCACGCGCAGGGCUGCACAACAUGGCGGCUACAAGAUAUCAGGGAAGGGAGAGAGGAGAGGGAAACCAUCGUGACCUCCGGAGCAGAUGACACGUACGCUUUCCCCCAGCGUGACUCAAAGGAUGUGAGGUUCCUGCAGAAGGCGGCCUAAAAGUGGAUGGGCGAAGAGAAUGGGAAGCCGGCGGGGAAACCGAGCUUGAGCUCCAGAACCAGGGAGAGGGGAUGGGAGACCCCGACAGCAAGCCUGUCCAUUCAGUCCAGAUCAACCUGGAGCCCCACACGGAAGAAUGGUUGCUGACCUCAUCUCAGAACAUGUCCAAGCCUCCCCUCUCACGUGGGUGCUGCGCAAGCCUUCCAGGUUCGUUUGAAAAUCACCUCUCAAGUCUCUGCCCACAUCAUUUGUGGGGUCUCCACCCCAGACUGGCAUAGGAACAUGGCUAGGGUGAUGUCGCUCCCUCCUGUGUAUGCCCCACACCCCUGGCCUGAAGGGCAGGGCACUUCUGAGCUAUGUGCCCCAGGACAGGACAGGGACCCGGGGCGGCUGGCCAUCGCAGGUACAGCUGACAUGCCUGGGCCCCUGGAGCCUUCCUACUGAGCUCACCUUCACCUCCACCCCUCCGCAAGGGCAACUGCCAUCCUUUAAAGAUGUCUUUAAAG